ensembl:lncRNA
CAAAUUUAGCAUGUUAUCUAAAUGUAAUAUCUUAAUAGUCUGCAUUAUAUAUUAUGAAUCUGCAUUAAAAAUAGCAUUUUAAAUGGUGAAUCCAUAAUUUUGGAUUCCCAAAACCAUAUUUGUGAUGUAUCCUGACUAAGACAGGUUGUUGGAGGAGUAUUAGAAGCAGAAUGAAACCGCUUAUUUUGGUUUCAUAAUAUGUACAUAUUGACUCCCACUCAUUCUUAUAUUAAUUAAAUUAUAAUUCUGUCCUUUUGAAAUUUUGAUUAUAAAAAUUUUAUUGUCCUAAAUUAACUGUUACUUUUAUAGUAUCUGAUAAUCUUAAAACUUUUAAUUUUAUACAAAAUAGACAUAAAUGACCUACAAUUUUUUCAUUAAAAUGAAGGUGGCAGAAUAAACAUUAUUUGUUAAAACCUCACGUGCCAAAUUUUGGCAUCAUGUUUGUAUUUAGAGCUGUUCUUAAAAUGAUGAUAUUACUUAUUUUUCAUUAUCCUAAUUUAAAACUGUACGAAGCUUUUCUCUGUCUUUCUAAUGGGAGCAUUGAUAAAAUGUUUAAAUGCCAUGCAUAUUAAGAUUAGCCUAACCUAGGAUCUUGUUAAAUUAAAGACACAUUUGUUCACUUUUAUACUCUAGAUAGAAUAAUUUAUAUUUCUGAUCAUGAAUCAAGUAUCUGAGGAUUCGUGUCCCUUUCUGUCCCUUUCAAAGAACUCCUGAAGCAACUUAACUCAAUAUUUCAGCCUUUGAGUAGAUAAAACUACCUGUACCUUCGUUAAUCACCCACAUUCUGUGACGGAAGGCUGAUACUCAUGAAUGCAGAGAAGCACCUUGUAUUUGCUAAAAGGAAUAGCAUCAAAUCUUUUCAAUAUUUUGGAACCCAGGGAAGUAUUUUAAAAAGCACUUACUUUCAGAGGAGCACAAGUAGUUACCAACUAAACAAACAAACCCUGAGGUCCACACAGAGCUAUCAGAUUAUCUGUAUUUUAACUGAAUUUGGGCUUCCCUGGUGGCUCAGAUGGUAAAGAACCUACCUGCAAUGCGGGAGACCUGGGUUCAGUCCCUGGGUUUGAAAGAUCCCCUGCCUGGAGAAGGGAAUGGCUGCCCACUCCCAGUAUUCUGGCCUGGAGAAUUCCAUGGACUGUAUAGUCCAUGGGGUUGCAAAGAGUCGGACACAACUGAGUGACUUAUACUUUCAGUAAUUGAAUGUACUAUCAAAGAACUAAAGCAGAUUUUGGGGUGGUUUUGUUUUUAUGUAAACUGGACACACAGAAUACAAUAGUAAAUUUGUUUUCGCAAGUGUUUCUCCCUGAUGUAAACACAGAGGUAAAAGAUUUAUGUUAGAAGUAAAGGACUAAGGGUACAUGCAGAGUUGUUAAAAGUCCUGUGGUUGUACUGACUCAGUGUUGGAAGGAAAGCAUCUGCUUUAUCAGAGAAUAAAGACUUGUGGUCUUGCAUUGGAAAGAUGUUUUGGAGACACUGUUUUCCUGGAUAAAAGUCACUCUACUAUGUAAAAUAAUGAACAAGUUGGGAUCCUAAUUAUUUUGUGUGCCGUACUGGGUACAGUCCCUGCCUCUUUUUCUAGUCAGGUGGUGGAGUAGGGUAGGGGGAUGGAGGAAGUCAGAGAAGUAGGAAGACAAGCCUUCUCUAGUCAGCCCCCAACCAAAGACUGGAAAGAAGAGAAACGAUUGUCUGCCAUCAGAAGUUCAGUUUGUAUGUAUUCUGUGCACAUGCACCAACACACACAGAGUAAAUCUUUAAUCAGCUAUAUACUGGUGUUUAAAACAGAGAACGAUUGUCUUCCAAGUUUAUGGUUCUUUUUUUAAAAACUGUGUUAAGUACUUGAAAUGUGUUGACUGCUGACUAUCUUUCAAAAACAAAAACAAAACCGUUUGAGUUGUAUUACAGAGGUUGACAUUGUGCAGGGAUGGGACAAAGCUUUCUUCAAUCCUUUUUAUACCACUUCAUGAUUUUGGUACAGGAACUUAAGAUGUUCUUGUUUAUUCCAUGAGAUUUCACUUCUACUCUUCACAGUAUGAGCAUGAAGCCCAGUGGCACCAAGUGGCUGAAUACAAUUGAAUGAUAUUUUGCUUGGGCCUUGGGAGUUUUCAGAUGAUGAUUUCAUUGAGCUUCAUUGUAGCCUGAAAUAAAGAAGUUGUGUGAUAUAUGCUAACCAGUCAAGUUGCUUUUUGACCAGAAAUUUAGAUAUGUUCUAUUUUUUGGCUCAUUUCUUUGUGCUCUAUGGGUACAUACAAAAAUCCUGAAUUCUGUUCUUAAGCAAAUAUUGCAACUCAGGGCUAAAGUCAUCCAGUGAAACUUUUAGAGCCAGAAGUAACUUUGUCCCAAUCCUACAAUGUGAAAAGAAUGAAUAGUUGCCUCUUUUUAGCCAUUUUCAUGGCUGGUACAUAUCCGUACACAUUACUUUUCAGAAUCAAUACGCACUUUCAGAUAUUCUUAUUUUUAUUCUCUUAAGUCUUUAUUAACUUUGGAGAAAUGAUGCAUCUUUUUAUUUUAAAUGAAGUAGAUCAACAUGGUGGAACAAAAUGAUAUAGAACAGAAAACAUUUCAAUAUAUUACUAAUAAUUUUUUUCCAAUAUAAAACCUAAAAUUCCUAUAACAUUAUAGUAUUUUACAGUUUUAUGAAGCUUUCUAUUGUGACUUUUAUGGAAUUAAGAGAUGAAGAAGAUGAG